rnacentral:rRNA from 1 species
GGGAAAUGGGCAACGGUAGGUCAGCAUGCCCCGAAUUAUCUGGGCUACACGCGGGCUACAAUGGGUGGGACAAUGGGUAUCGACACCGAAAGGUGAAGGCAAUCUCCUAAACCCAUCCGUAGUUCGGAUUGUGGGCUGCAACUCGCCCACAUGAAGCUGGAAUCUGUAGUAAUCGUGUCUCAAAAUGGCACGGUGAAUAUGUCCCUGCUCCUU